rnacentral:rRNA from 1 species
UACGUAGGGUGCAAGCGUUGUCCGGAAUUAUUGGGCGUAAAGAGCUCGUAGGCGGUCUGUCACGUCGGCUGUGAAAACCCGGGGCUCAACCCCCGGGCCUGCAGUCGAUACGGGCAGACUAGAGUGCGGUAGGGGAGACUGGAAUUCCUGGUGUAGCGGUGAAAUGCGCAGAUAUCAGGAGGAACACCGGUGGCGAAGGCGGUUCUCUGGGCAUGUCCUGACGCUGAGGAGCGAAAGUGUGGGGAGCGAACAGG